AUACGUAGGUGGCAAGCGUUAUCCGGAAUUAUUGGGCGUAAAGCGCGUGUAGGCGGUUUCUUAAGUCUGAUGUGAAAGCCCCGGGCUCAACCUGGGAAGUGCAUUGGAAACUGGGGGACUUGAGUACGGGAGAGGGUAGUGGAAUUCCUAGUGUAGGAGUGAAAUCCGUAGAUAUUAGGAGGAACACCGGUGGCGAAGGCGGCUACCUGGACCGAUACUGACGCUGAGACGCGAAAGCGU
rnacentral:rRNA from 1 species